UACGUAGGGGGCGAGCGUUGUCCGGAUUUAUUGGGCGUAAAGAGCGUGUAGGCGGCCAGGUAGGUCUGCUGUGAAAACUCGAGGCUCAACCUCGAGACGUCGGCGGAAACCAUCUGGCUAGAGUCCGGAAGAGGAGAGUGGAGUUCCUGGUGUAGCGGUGAAAUGCGCAGAUAUCAGGAAGAACACCCGUGGCGAAGGCGGCUCUCUGGGACGGUACUGACGCUGAGACGCGAAAGCGUGGGGAGCGAACAGG
rnacentral:rRNA from 1 species